AAUAAAAUGUGUCAAAAACAACCAAUCAGAGCCAGGAGGAGGGGCUUAUCGCUGUCCAUCAACCUUGUGAACGUGCUGCUAAAUGUGCUAAUGGUGAAGAAA